rnacentral:rRNA from 1 species
GAUGAACGCUGGCGGCGUGCCUAAUACAUGCAAGUCGAGCGAACAGACGAGGAGCUUGCUCCUCUGACGUUAGCGGCGGACGGGUGAGUAACACGUGGAUAACCUACCUAUAAGACUGGGAUAACUUCGGGAAACCGGAGCUAAUACCGGAUAAUAUAUUGAACCGCAUGGUUCAAUAGUGAAAGACGGUUUUGCUGUCACUUAUAGAUGGAUCCGCGCCGCAUUAGCUAGUUGGUAAGGUAACGGCUUACCAAGGCAACGAUGCGUAGCCGACCUGAGAGGGGGAGAGGCAACAAGGGAACCGAGACAGGGUCGAGACGCGGAGGGGAGGAAGCGGUAGGGAAGAGUGUGAAAUGGGCGAAAGAUUGAAGGAUCAAAGCGGAGGGAGAGAUGAAGGUGUUAGGAUCGGAAAACUCUGGGAUGAGGGAAGAACAAAGGUGUAAGUAACGAUGCAAGUCUGGACGGUAACUAAUCAGAAAGCGACGGCUAACGACGUG